rnacentral:tRNA from 1 species
GCCGGGGUAGCUCAGAUGGUUAGAGCGCUGGAUUGUGGAUCCAGAGGUCCAGGGUUCGACCCCCUGCCCCGGUACCA